AAGAAGGUCAAGACUUCAAGAUUGUUCUACACAUCAAACAAAAUCAGUUCAGAGCUGUGAUGGAGUAUCAGACAUAUAGACAGCCACAAAUCAAGCAGUACAGACAAUUUCUGUCUUAUAUCACCAUCCAAGAGAAACAGAGCUGAAAGUGUUCCCACAGGUCAACUAAGCUGCUGGAGGAGUGCUCUGAAAAGCUGAAUCUGAACAUGGCUGCACGAUGAGUGUUCUUGGCAGACGACACUGAAGCACUAGAACCUAAAGACAUACCCCAUGAUGCCGACGUUUAUAUUUCAACUGGAGAGACCUUUUUAUAUCCAUUCAAAAAAACAAAAGACCAUCUGUCAUUAAUGAAGAAAGUAUCUUGGACAGUGAAUGGCCC